AUUGAACGCUGGCGGCAGGCCUAACACAUGCAAGUCGAGCGGAUGAAAGGGGCUUGCUCCUGGAUUCAGCGGCGGACGGGUGAGUAAUGCGCAGGAAUCUACCUAGUAGUGGGGGAUAACGUUUCGAAAGGAACGCUAAUACCGCAUACGUUCUGAGGAAGAAAGCAGGGGAUCGUAAGACCUUGCGCUAUUAGAUGAGCUUGCGUCCGAUUAGCUAGUUGGUGGGGUAAAGGCCUACCAAGGCGACGAUCGGUAACUGGUCUGAGAGGAUGAUCAGUCACACUGGAACUGAGACACGGUCCAGACUCCUACGGGAGGCAGCAGUGGGGAAUAUUGGACAAUGGGGGCAACCCUGAUCCAGCCAUGCCGCGUGUGUGAAGAAGGCCUCGGUUGUAAGU
rnacentral:rRNA from 1 species